rnacentral:rRNA from 1 species
GUCUUGGCUGUAAACGGUGCGUAUUUGCUGUAAACGGAAUCGACCCCGUUUGUGGCGUAGCUAACGCGAUAAAUACGCCGCCUGGGAAGUACGGUCGCAAGAUUAAAACUCAAAGAAAUUGACGGGGGCCUGCACAAGCGGUGGAGUAUGUGGCUUAAUUCGAUGCAACGCGAAGAACCUUACCUGGCCUUGACAUGCAUGUGGUAGAACCAUGAAAGUGGGACGAUCCCGCAAGGGAAGCAUGCACAGGUGCUGCAUGGCUGUCGU